GGUGCUUGCACCCCGCUGACGAGCGGCGGACGGGUGAGUAAUGCAUAGGAAACUGCCCAGUAGUGGGGGAUAGCCCGGGGAAACCCGGAUUAAUACCGCGUACGCCCUUCGGGGGAAAGCAGGGGAUCUUCGGACCUUGCGCUAUUGGAUGUGCCUAUGUCGGAUUAGCUAGUUGGUGGGGUAAAGGCCUACCAAGGCGACGAUCCGUAGCUGGUCUGAGAGGAUGAUCAGCCACAUCGGGACUGAGACACGGCCCGAACUCCUACGGGAGGCAGCAGUGGGGAAUAUUGGACAAUGGGGGCAACCCUGAUCCAGCCAUGCCGCGUGUGUGAAGAAGGCUUUCGGGUUGUAAAGCACUUUCAGUGAGGAGGAAAAGCUGGUCGUUAAUACCGGCCAGCCUUGACGUUACUCACAGAAGAAGCACCGGCUAACUCCGUGCCAGCAGCCGCGGUAAUACGGAGGGUGCAAGCGUUAAUCGGAAUUACUGGGCGUAAAGCGCGCGUAGGUG
rnacentral:rRNA from 1 species